GAUGAACGCUGGCGGCGUGCCUAAUACAUGCAAGUCGAGCGAACAGACGAGGAGCUUGCUCCUCUGACGUUAGCGGCGGACGGGUGAGUAACACGUGGAGAACCUACCUAUAAGACUGGGAUAACUUCGGGAAACCGGAGCUAAUACCGGAUAAUAUAUUGAACCGCAUGGUUCAAUAGUGAAAGACGGUUUUGCUGUCACUUAUAGCUGGAUCCGCGCCGCAUUAGCUAGUUGGUAAGGUAACGGCUUACCAAGGCAACGAUGCGUAGCCGACCUGAGAGGGUGAUCGGCCACACUGGAACUGAGACACGGUCCAGACUCCUACGGGAGGCAGCAGUAGGGAAUCGUCCGCAAUGGGCGAAAGCCUGACGGAGCAACGCCGCGUGAGUGAUGAAGGUCUUCGGAUCGUAAAACUCUGUUAUUAGGGAAGAACAAAUGUGUAAGUAAAUAUGCACGUCUUGACGGUACCUAAUCAGAAAGCCACGGCUAACUACGUG
rnacentral:rRNA from 1 species